rnacentral:ncRNA from 1 species
CUUCGAGGCGAGGUGAAAUUCCUCACCGGUAGUAAUGGCGCAAGCCUGAGCCUACAACGGAUAUUCUCAUAUCCCUGAUUUGGUGCAAUUCCAAAGCCGACGGUAAAGUCCGGAUGAAAGAAGAA